AGUAUCAACCAAUUGUAGUAGGAGCGUAUAACGACUUAGUUUUAUGUUGCCCAACCAUGAGUUUUCAGCAUGAUUAUACUACAUGUGCAACACCUACACCAGGCAAUGGGAUGCUCUUCCUCCUGCUCCUCGAUGCCACGAGGAAGUAAGAGUGGGAUUCAUCUGCGAACCCUACUACUAUAAUAAUGAUAAGAACCAACAAUGUGACAGAAAAGAAGAACAAGUAGAAGAAGAAAGUGAAAUCCGGGUUAAUGUACAGGUACAGGGUUGUGCGAAUAAUUCCUCCUAAACGUCCAGAUAAAUCCUUGGAAUUAUUCAACGUGGAGAUGUUCUCGUAGGAGACUGGCAGAUGGACAGAGUCAGUUGUAUCAUGCCCAAGAAGCUUUCGUUUUAGGACGUUGUGUCGCGAUGCAGGGGUUGCGUACAAUGGAAUGCUUUACUGGUGAAGCUCUGGUGAGGGCUUUAUUAUUGGUUUGGAUCCCUACGAAAAGUCGGAUAAAUAUUGUUUUCGUUACAUUGAGAAUAAGCCUACAGUCUACAGAUGAGCGGACGUCUGGACCAUGUAAGUUCCUAUGUGUGUCUAGUAAAGGGCGUCCGCGAAUGUGCCAGUUCACCCUCUCGGAUUUUGAUGAUAACGAUGGUGAUGUGAAGGUUUGGGAGUGAAAGAUGAUCACCAGAUGGACAUGGACGUGUACAGGGACGUGGACAUGGACGUAGUUGCAGGCAACAAUGGCAAAUGGUUCGACCCAAAUAAUGAGGAUAUCUUGUAUCUAGAGAUUGCUCAACACAUUGUCAUGUGCAACAUUCGUGAAGAAAGGUUAACGGAGGUUUCAAAAACACCGUAUUCUUAUUUUGAGAUUCACUCUGCGAAACCUGUCUUCCCAUUUGUGUUCCCGUGGUGGCCGACACCAAUACUUACUCGACACAAAUCGGCCUCCUCCUCCUCGAAUUCCCACCUGCACCGUGUAACGAGUACUACUAGAACCAGACGAGCCAUCAAGAGAAUGUUGCAAAAACGUAAAGAAAAGCCAGCUAGUGCUUGUGCUUGCAGACGAGCCAUUGCGAAAAAGAAAAGAACUAUUAUCUACCACAACCACUAUUUCUUAACCUAAUUCUUUUAAAUAAAA
rnacentral:lncRNA from 1 species